AUGCACAGAGAACACCCAAGUGUGCUUUCUAGCUCCCUUGGCCUUAAAACUGUGCUAAAUAGAUGUCUGUCCUUUUUCCUCUGCGGUAGGAGAUUUUAUUCUCUUGCACGUAUUCAGAAGCACAGUACAUUU
ensembl:snoRNA